rnacentral:lncRNA from 1 species
CCGUUUAAAAAAAGCCACUGAUGAACGUUUUGAUAAUAUAACAAAUCCCUUCUUAAAUUAUAAAGGUUUAAUGGGAACAGUUUAUUUUCUCCAACAGGCUUCUGCUGGCAUGAGAACCUGGGACAUUGAAACAGGGAUGUGAUCGUCAUGUCUAAGGCUUUGGGAUGGCUCAAACUGCUUCCUCCCUUUUCUCCCUUCAGCUCCACAGAGAGGUUGUGAUCUUAUGGGUCCCGUGUGUUGUUACUGAAGUCUCAGCAUCCCUUCUAUUAAUUCCAACAAUUAGAAACUUGCAUACAUAUUAUAACUUUCCUUUUUAUUGGUGCUUUUAGAUUUUUUUCAAAAAUGCAAAAAGCAAGUUGAAAGAGUACAUUAAAGGAAGUUUCAUGAAAUCCUGGCUCCCCUGAGUACCCAUAAAUCUUGGUUCUUCAAGGUUGCCUGGGACCAGAGCAAUCAGACUUAGGAACCCACACAUUUAGAAUAUAAAUUAUUGAUGCCGCUAUAAAGAGAACUGCAGGAUCAUCUAGUCAACAAGUUAUUUUACAAAUAAGGAAACUAAGCUCCAAAUAUAGGUAGUAUACACUGUGUGCAAGUCUUUAUGACUGAAAAAAAUAAUGUGAGGGCAAUUUUGAAAUUAUGUCCUGCAAAUAUUAAAAGUCCCACUUUUAACUAUCAUCCAGGCAAUAACUAUGGAAGAGAGAAGUAAGUGAUGAUGCUCGUUAUAAAGACUCUACUGUCCUGCUGAAUAUCUCUAUGGUCUCUAACCAGUUAGGUCCCUAACUGGUCAGAGCAUCUGGGAAGGAGCGGAGUUACUGCAUCAGGCACCGAAAACUCUGGGCCUUUCCAAGCAAUUGUGGCUGCAUUUUCUUCCUCAAGGAGGCAAGAACUAGAAAGACCUAGACCAGCACAGUGGCCCAGGAUGACAGGUAAGUCAACUCAGCCUGUUAUCCCCGGGCAUAGGUGAUGAUGACAAUACAAAGUGCUAAUUUUCUGGAAGUGGAGACUGAAAGAUAUAUGCUGUUAUCAGUCAGCACUCCUAUGAG